GUGAUCUCAAAGCUUGAAAGUUUUCAUUAAGUUUUUCUCGUCUUUUUCGCUCUGAUAUCAUGUGUUGAAGUUGAUUGCUUGUUGAUCGGGUUGUAUGGAUCAUUAGAUCUUCUUGUUGGUCUCGCACUUCACGAAGAUUUUUAUAGAAUAAAUGUAGUCUCCUCUUGAGAUUUUGUCGAUUGUGAACUCGUUUAGGUCCUAAAUAUGGUUGAUAUCUCUUAAAUACGCUAGCAGCUUGCAAAGCUUGAAGCUGGUGUGAGGAAGGAGGAGGAGGAGGAGGAGAAAUGACUGCAAGAAUUGCUCUUGUGAUUGCAGCUUCUUCAUGUUCCCUUGAAGAUAUUUCUGGCAUAUAAGAAGAUGUAUGAAGCAUGUUGAAGAGAAAAGGCGGACAAUCUACGUUGUUUUCCAUUGACAAUGAUCUUAAAGAUGAUGAUGAAGAUGAAGGUCUAGCUUGAUCAAGUGGUUGGGGAAGCACUUCUUGUGGGAAAUCACCAGGAAACAACUUCUUUAACUCGAAUUCAUCGUUAACCUACAUUCAAACCCAUGAAAUUAUAAAAGAUUAAGAAAACUGAUUACAAAGAACAAAUUAUUUCACCACCAUUAAGCACCCCCACCAACCAGUCCCAAGUCCCACACGAGAUGUGUAAAUCAUUGUGUCAUAUGGUAGGUGGGUGGCAGUGGCGGAUCCAGAACGAUUUAGUUAGGGGGUCAUCAUAAGCUUGUAUUCUAUGAUGGUUCAAAUUAAGUGGUCCAUCUCUAAGUUUGUUUUUCAAAAACUCAAAAUUUAUAAAUAAAAAUUCAAAAAGUUCCGGUGACCGAAGGGUCAACGGACCCUCUUGACCCCCUUCUGGUUCCGGCCCUGGUGGGUGGUGCUUAGGUUUGAACCUGAAACCUCUACGUGACUACAACAUAUUCCCACAUCCUUAGAAGUGAAUAAGAAAACAAAAGUAAAUAAUGUGUAAAAAAGGAAUUAGAUUUCUAACUUGGGAUGAGCCAUUGGACAUGCCAAGUUCAAUCUCUCCAUUCUUGCACCCCAUAAAAAUUGCGGUCUGUCAUGGAAGUUUAUCAUCAAUGUUUGGGUGAUCAAGCAAUUAACGGAAACAAAUCGUUCGGUUAAGUGUUAGCCCAUUUCAUUUCUUUUUUAGGGUGUAUUUUUUAGGUUGAUCCGAGCUUUUACUCUU
rnacentral:lncRNA from 1 species